rnacentral:rRNA from 1 species
UACGAAGGGGGCUAGCGUUGCUCGGAAUUACUGGGCGUAAAGCGCACGUAGGCGGCUUCUUAAGUCAGGGGUGAAAUCCUGGAGCUCAACUCCAGAACUGCCCUUGAUACUGAGGAGCUCGAGUCCGGAAGAGGUGAGUGGAACUGCGAGUGUAGAGGUGAAAUUCGUAGAUAUUGGGAAGAACACCGGUGGCGAAGGCGGCUCACUGGCUCGUAUCUGACGCUCAGGCGCGACAGCGUGGGGAUCAAACAGG